rnacentral:tRNA from 1 species
CGCGGCUCGGGCGGCUCGUUGCGCCAGUUGAUGCUGACGUCUUCAAGGCUGGUGGUGGGUGCCAGCUCUUCGGUCACGA